AAACAAACAACCUAAUUAGAAACAUUAAAAUAUUUUGUAAGCAAUAUAAUAAAUAUGAUAUCUUCAUGCAUUCUCUUUUUGCUUUUUUACCUAUUCCAGAUCUGAAAGUAUCAAGAAAAUAUUAAGAAGACUUAUAAAAGCACUAAAAUACCAGCAGGAUACAUAUAUAUAAUGGUGUCAAAAACACCAUAUAUCAGUGGGUUGUGUCGAUUCUUCUUCGGUGGAACAAUCGAAUGACAUCAGCGACGAACGGCGGAGGGAAAUGAGAUUAGGUUUAGAGGUUAAGAAAGUGAAAAACUUUGUGUUCGAGUUCUGUAGCGGAGGAGGUAGCUUGUGGAGAAACUGCUUUAGUAAACAUAAACUAAUAUUAAAUUCUUUCAUCUGUUGAGAUUUAUUAAAACUAUUAGUAGAUUGUCCACUUUAAGUUUAAAAGGCAAAUUCCGCAUAUAUUUACUUUUGGUUUUCCUUCCAAAAAGCUUUAUACUAAUUAGAGUUCGACUUCUUUUUAUAUAUUAGACUUUCUUUUGUUUAACUUUUGAUGUGAGAUUUAAAUUGAAAUCUUUUAUUAGCGAUAAAAUUAUCUAUCUUAAGGAUGGAAAUACCAUAUGAGUUUCAGCAGCUGCGGGUAGAUGAUUAUUUUUAGGAAGUAGUGUCUAAUUACGAACAAGAUUUUAUCUCUUGGUUAGCCUUUUCUUGUCUAUUUUACCUAUUUUAAGUUUAAGAAUUGUCUCGAAUUACUUAAAUCAUAGAUGUGUAUUUCAAUUCUUGUGGUUAAACUUUAUUGUAGGAUGAAAAGUAAAAGACUAAACUAACCAUCGUGUCAUUAUAAAUAGAAAUUCAUCUUAGGCUCAGUUCCUCGUACAAUACACAUAAUAUACCUUCAAACUAAAAAAAAAGAAAGGAGAAAAAGUAAAAAAGUAAAAUAUAGCAUGGCUAAGUUUGCUUCCAUCAUCACCUUCCUCUUCGUUGUUCUUAUUAUCUUUUCUGCUUUUGAAGCACCAACGAUUGUGGAAGGGCAGAGGUCAUGCAAGAGGCAGCCUAAUUCAGGGAG